rnacentral:rRNA from 1 species
GACAGAGGUGCCAAGCGUUAGGCGGAAUCACUGGGCUUAAAGCGUGUGUAGGCGGACCGUUAAGUACCUUGUGAAAUCCCACGGCUCAACCGUGGAACGGCUGGGUAUACUGGCGGUCUUGGGCCACUCAGGGGCGAGCGGAACAAGUGGUGGAGCGGUGAAAUGCGUAGAUAUCACUUGGAACGCCGACGGUGAAAACAGCUCGCUGGGAGUGUGCCGACGCUGAGACACGAAAGCCAGGGGAGCGAACGGG